rnacentral:tRNA from 1 species
AAGUCCUAGCUUAAUCAAAGCAUCUGAGUUGCAUUCAGGGGAUGCAGGAUAAUGUCCUGCGGAUUUUA